rnacentral:rRNA from 1 species
GUACCUUUUGCAUCAUGGGCCUGCGAGUUAUCCUAUGUCGCAAGGUUAAGCCGAUAGGUGAAGCCGAAGCGAAAGCGAGUUCAAAUAGAGCGUUGAGUGGCAUGGGGUAGACCCGAAACCUGGCGAUCUAUCCAUGAGCAGGUUGAAGCGCGGGUAAAACCGCGUGGAGGACCGAACCCACCACAGUUGAAAAUGUGGGGGAUGACUUGUGGAUCGGAGUGAAAGGCUAAUCAAGCCAGGAGAUAGCUGGUUCUCCGCGAAAUAUAUUGAGGUAUAGCCUCGGAUGAAUUGCACCGGAGGUAGAGCACUGAAUGGGCUAGGGGUCUUACCGGAUUACCAAACCCAAUCAAACUCCGAAUGCCGGUGACAACUGUCCGGGAGACAGGCUGCGGGUGAUAAGGUCCGUAGCCGAGAGGGAAAGAGCCCAGAUCGACAGCUAAGGUCCCCAAAUCCAGACUAAGUGUAGAAGGAUGUGGGAGCGCUCAGACAGCCAGGAGUUGGCUUAGAAGCAG